rnacentral:lncRNA from 1 species
AAGGAUCCGGCCUGUGAAAGGAUUGGGCACUGACAUCCUUAUCAAGCUUUCCUUAGAGCUGAUGACACAGUCAUUAGUUUCAGGUGUGUUAGAACAGGGAGACAUUUAAAACAUGCAGGACAGGAGCUCUCGAGAACUGGACCAGAGCAACUCAGCAACAAAGUUCAGUCUCUACGCAGAGGCUGUCCUAAUGGAUAAACACUGCAGUAGCUUACAGUUACAGGUCUGCUCUUCCUGCUGCUGGGAACAGACGGACACACAGGGUAAGUUCACCUGAUCUAUGGAUGAAAACGGACGUUUAAGGUUCAAUAUCUGUUAGAAACUACAAAAAAUUAUGUUUAUGAUCCAUGUUGUUAAAUGUCUUUGAAUUACACCAAAGCCAAAGUAGGAAUAAUGAUGUAUC